UACGUAGGGUGCGAGCGUUGUCCGGAAUUACUGGGCGUAAAGAGCUCGUAGGUGGUUUGUCGCGUUGUUCGUGAAAACUCACAGCUCAACUGUGGGCGUGCAGGCGAUACGGGCAGACUGGAGUACUGCAGGGGAGACUGGAAUUCCUGGUGUAGCGGUGGAAUGCGCAGAUAUCAGGAGGAACACCAAUGGCGAAGGCAGCUCGCUGGAACGGUACUGACGCUGAGGCGCGAAAGCGUGGGGAGCGAACAGG
rnacentral:rRNA from 1 species